ACCUAGUGCUGGAUAUGACACAAAUUACUAUUAAAUUUGGAUAGACUCUUAUAUACUCCCUCGGAUUAGUAUUUUUAUUGGUAUUAGAUGAUAAAGUAUGAAUAGUACUUUAUAUGUGACUAUUUUUUUAAAUUUUUUUAUAAAUUUUUUAAAUAAGACGGACGGUCAAACGUUGGACAAGUAUAUUCACGACUGCACUUAUU
rnacentral:pre_miRNA from 1 species